rnacentral:misc_RNA from 1 species
CUCAUCUUCAAGCUGCCACUCUAAGCCGAUCUCUAUCUUCUAACGCUCUCUCUCUCUCUCUCCCUUCUGAUAUUUUGCACCGCCGUGCACAGGUUUCUGGUGUUUUCUCCAAUGCGUUCAUCUCCCUCUGCGCUCCUCCCUGUCGCGCCCUCCCUGGUGCACGCGCGCAGCUCCCUCUGCCUUCCAUGGCCGCGCCGGUUUGGAGCUAUCUUCACGCGCCCUGGUUCCUGCACCCAGUCAUCUUCUCCUACCGCAACUCUCUCCUCCCUCCAUCUCUCCUGCGCGCGCCCAGCCCCAGUGCCCGGCCGAGAUCCCUGGCCGCCGCGCCCUGCUCUCGGUUGCUGCUCGCCGGUGCUCCAGCUUGUCGGGCGCGCCCCUGCUCCUCGCCCCUCCCCAGCCGAGGCCCCUCCUUCCCGUUUCCCAUGGCCAAGCGUCCGGCCGGAGCUUCUUUUGCUCAGCUCUCUGCUGUUGAGCUCCUCCGGCUGUGCUUCCCUGCUCAGCGCGUUUCUCCCUACUCUCUCCCUCCUCUGGACAUGGAUGCUUAGGAGAAGUGGUAGCCCCAGCUCGGCAACACCAAUAGGCUCCCUGGAACCAGCCUCCCUUUCGAGUCCCUCCGCGUGCCACUGGUCUCUGCUUCUCCCACGGCCGCCGUCGAGUCGUCGGACUCGUCCAUUCCCCGCUCGCCCCUGCGCUCGCCCAGCUCCCUGUGCCUGCCAUUCCAGCAACUCUGGCGUCAACGCUCCCUGUUCUUGUUGCUUAGAGUGCUCCAGCAUCUCGCCCUCGUGGCCUUCGAGUUAGAUUAAGUUAUUGGUGAGCGCCGUGCUGUCGGACUCCAUCAUGCAGCCGGUGUUCGACAAAGAAAAAUCUAGUCUAGGAUUCUGACUCGGCCUCGACCCUGUCGUCCUUGAAGGUCCUACUAUCCCUAUGUUGUUCGUCGUUAUCUUGGUCAUGUGGUGGCCGCAACUUCCUAUGUUAGUCCCUAGUCCACAUCGUCGUCCAGCUCAGUAGCCGUAUACCAUCGACAGAGGAGAGAAAUCACUGGAUUGCGUGACAAAGAAGCGUAGUCCAAUAUGACACCUGCCAGCCAAGCACUCGACAAAUUCCCUGAAUCGGAGAACCAUUACCGAUCUCGUGUAUUCGAGUCAGCUAUUGGAAUGGUCGCAAGCGCUCAAUGUGGAAGAAUGGAAUUAGAUGAAGAAGAAAGAGAGGUUCAGCGCGAUGCUCACUAGGUGCUCAAUAAAUUGCGAGUCACGGAACUCUCGUCGACUUCGAGGUUACGAGUCACUUUGAUUGUGAUUGAUGUUAAGUGCCGGUGGGCUCGGCCUUCUUAUAAGUCUAAGUACUUCUUCUAUACUUCUUAUUGAGGAUUGUCAUUGAGCUAGCAUGUAUUUCAAACUUAUAAAUAAUUUAUAACAUUUCAAAGUUUAUUCUUUGAACCACUAUUGUAACCACUC